UUUAUUUGAAUAAUAACUAAAGUUUUUUCAUAACAGCACACCUCAAACCAUUAAGCAAUCUAUUAGUAAGUUAAUACAACCCAAACUAUUAAUAAUAGAAGCAAACCAUAAGUACAGUGCCAAUAAAACAAAAUAACAGUUCAAUGCAACGAAUGUUCCAAAAGCAUGAUUGAGGCACGGAGGAUAUACAGAGACUCAAAUAUUGGCUUUUAUUAUCC
rnacentral:lncRNA from 1 species